UACGGGGGGAGCAAGCGUUGUUCGGAUUUACUGGGCGUAAAGGGCGCGUAGGCGGUCAGCACAAGUCAGUUGUGAAAUCUCCGGGCUUAACUCGGAAAGGUCAACUGAUACUGUGCGACUAGAGUGCAGAAGGGCAACUGGAAUUCUCGGUGUAGCGGUGAAAUGCGUAGAUAUCGAGAGGAACACCGGUGGCGAAGGCGGGUCUCUGGGCCGAUACUGACGCUGAGGAGCGAAAGCAUGGGGAGCGAACAGG
rnacentral:rRNA from 1 species